UACGUAAGGCGCGAGCGUUGUCCGGAAUUAUUGGGCGUAAAGAGCUCGUAGGCGGCCUGUCGCGUCCGCUGUGAAAACCCGGGGCUUAACCCCGGGCCUGCAGUGGAUACGGGCAGGCUGGAGGCAGGCAGGGGAGAACGGAAUUCCCGGUGUAGCGGUGAAAUGCGCAGAUAUCGGGAGGAACACCAACGGCGAAAGCGCUCUGCUGGGCCGACACUGACGCUGAGAGACGAAAGCUAGGGGAGCGAAUGGG
rnacentral:rRNA from 1 species